rnacentral:rRNA from 1 species
UACGGAGGGUGCAAGCGUUAUCCGGAAUCACUGGGUUUAAAGGGUGCGUAGGCGGCCUUGUAAGUCAGUCGUGAAAUCGCUGGGCUCAACCCAUGCAAUUGCGAUUGAUACUGCGAGACUUGAAUGGGGUUAAGGCAGGCGGAAUGUGGCAUGUAGCGGUGAAAUGCAUAGAUAUGCCAUAGAACACCGAUUGCGAAGGCAGCCUGCUGGGCCUUUAUUGACGCUGAGGCACGAAAGCGUGGGGAGCAAACAGG